CAAUAGCGUAUAUUAAAGUUGUUGCGGUUAAAAAGCUCGUAGUUGGAUUUCUGUUGAGAACGGCCGGUCCGCACUAUGUGCGUGUAUCUGGUUCGGUCUUGGCAUCCUCUUGGAGAACGUAACUGCGCUUGAUUGCGUGGUGCGGUAUUCAAGACUUUUACUUUGAGGAAAUUAGAGUGUUCACGGCAGGCUAACGCCUUGAAUAUAUUAGCAUGGAAUAAUAAUAUAGGAUCUUGGGUCUAUUUUGUUGGUUUCUAGAGCUAAGAUAAUGAUUAAUAGGGACAAUUGGGGGCGAUUCGUAUUAACACGUCAGAGGUGGAAUUCUUGGAUUGUGUUACGACGAACUACUGCGAAAGCAUUUGUCCAAGGAUGUUUUCAUUGAUCAAGAACGAAAGUGAGGGGAUCGAAGAUGAUCAGAUACCGU
rnacentral:rRNA from 1 species